rnacentral:rRNA from 1 species
AUUGAACGCUGGCGGCAGGCCUAACACAUGCAAGUCGAGCGAGCGGGGGACGGGGGAGUAAUGUCUGGGAAAAUGCCUGAUGGAGGGGGAUAACUACUGGAAAAGGUAGAGAAUAUCCCACAUCACCAGAUGUGCCCCGAUGUGAUAUGCUGGAUGGUGGGGUAAAGGCGCACCAAGGCGACAAUCCCUAGCUGGUCUGAGAGGAUGACCAGCCAAACUGGAACGGGGACACGGUCCAGACUCCUACGGGAGGCAGCAGUGGGGAAUAUUGCACAAUGGGCGCAAGCCUGAUGCAGCCAUGCCGCGUGUAUGAAGAAGGCCUUCGGGUUGUAAAGUACUUUCAGCGGGGAGGCGUUACCCGCAGAAGAAGCACCGGCUAACUCCGUGCCAGCAGCCGCGGUAAUUC